ACGAAGAGAGCUCGGUUUGGUAGAGCGAUAAACUGUGACUUUAUAGGUCAUGGGUUCAAGUCCCAUUCUUCGUCC
rnacentral:tRNA from 1 species